rnacentral:rRNA from 1 species
UACGGAGGGUGCGAGCGUUAAUCGGAAUUACUGGGCGUAAAGCGCGCGUAGGCGGUUAUGUAAGUCAGGUGUGAAAGCCCCGGGCUCAACCUGGGAAUUGCAUUUGAGACUGCAUAGCUAGGGUGCGGAAGAGGGAAGCGGAAUUUCCGGUGUAGCGGUGAAAUGCGUAGAUAUCGGGAGGAACAUCAGUGGCGAAAGCGGCGUCCUGGGCCAGCACCGACGUUCAGGCACGAAAGCGUGGGGAGCAAACAGG